GAUGAACGCUGGCGGCGUGCUUAACACAUGCAAGUCGAACGGGAAACCUUUUAUUGAAGCUUCGGCAGAUUUAGCUGGUUUCUAGUGGCGGACGGGUGAGUAACGCGUGGGUAACCUGCCUUAUACAGGGGGAUAACAGUCAGAAAUGGCUGCUAAUACCGCAUAAGCGCACAGAGCUGCAUGGCUCAGUGUGAAAAACUCCGGUGGUAUAAGAUGGACCCGCGUUGGAUUAGCUGGUUGGUGGGGUAACGGCCCACCAAGGCGACGAUCCAUAGCCGGCCUGAGAGGGUGAACGGCCACAUUGGGACUGAGACACGGCCCAGACUCCUACGGGAGGCAGCAGUGGGGAAUAUUGCACAAUGGGGGAAACCCUGAUGCAGCGACGCCGCGUGAAGGAAGAAGUAUCUCGGUAUGUAAACUUCUAUCAGCAGGGAAGAUAAUGACGGU
rnacentral:rRNA from 1 species